AUUUAACCUCCUGAGACCCGGGCUUUUGUUUGAUGUGCAUUUUUUAUGUCUCCUUACUAUUUGGGAUUAGUAUGACCUGAUUUUAGUUGAAAUUAAAUUUUAGCUUUCUAUGUGCUCUUGAACUAUGUCAAAACCAAUGCCCUCAUAUGAGGACAAUGGGUCUGUUUUUGCAUAUACAUUUCUCCUUGUCAUUUGGGAUCAUAAGGACCCAAUUAGCCUAAAAAUGAAAUUUUAGCGUUCUACAAUAAGUGGUUAUCUCAAAACCCAAUGUCCUCAGACGAGGACAUUGGGUCUAUCUGUGUGACGAUAAGACCAUUCAAUCAAUGUUAUUAUUUACAUCUGUGUUUACAAAAAUGUAAUGUCCUCAUAUGAGGAUGCAGGGUCUCAGGAGGUCAAAUUCCUUAAAAAAUGGAAGU